AUGCUUGAAGAGCUUGAAGAAAAUGGUCCUUUACCUGAGCUAUACAACAUCAAGAUUGAUGUUAGUACUGAGCUUCAUGAUAUACUGGUGAAUGAGGAGAUUUAUUGGCUCCAACAGUCUCAUGAACGCUGGAUCUUGAAAGGGGAUUUGAACACGGACUACUAUCAUAAGAUUGCAAAUGGUCGCAAAAGGAAAAACACGAUCCACUCCCUUAAAGCUGGGGAUGUGGAGAUUGAGGGCACCGACAACCUCAUUGCUCAUGCCACAGAAUACUACAAAAGUUUCUUCGGACCUGGGUCUGGUAAUUUGUUCCACCUUGACCCUGACACAUGGACUGAUGAGGAAAAGCUUAAUGCUAAUGACAAUGCUGAUUUGUGUCGUGAGUUCACGGAGGAAGAGAUCAAGGAGGCCUUGUUCUCUAUGGCACAUAAUAGAGCCCCUGGACCUGACAACAUUCCUGUUGAAUUCUAUCAGGUGUGCUGGGACAUUGUUAAAGAGGACCUUAUGAGGUUGUUUGAGUGCUUUCAUAAUGGGACUUUGGAUGUCCAACGUUUGAACUAUGGGGUGAUCACCCUUUUACCCAAAUCUGUAGGCGCAGAUAAAAUCCAACAAUUUAGGCCUAUCUGUCUCCUGAGAUGCCCAUACAAGCUUAUUACUAAAGUUUUGGAUCGGCGAGUGGAGAGAUACGCUGAUAAGCUCAUUAGCUCGACUCAAAAUGCUUUUAUCAAAGGAAGAAGCAUUAUGGACGGGGUGUUGUCGCUACAUGAGAUUCUGAAUUAUACCCAUGUAAAAAAGAGGGUGGGGGUGGUCCUGAAACUUGACUUUGAGAAAGCGUAUGAUAAGGUGAACUGGGACUUUUUGUUAGAUUGUCAUAAACUACGAGGUUUCAGUGACACAUGGUGCAACUGGAUCAAACAGAUCCUGCACAAUGGUACUGUAAGUAUCAAACUUAAUAAUCAGGUUGGUCCUUACUUUUAG
rnacentral:rRNA from 1 species